rnacentral:rRNA from 1 species
AGAGGGUGCGAGCGUUAAUCGGAAUUACUGGGCGUAAAGCGUACGUAGUCGGCUUGUCAAGUCGGGUGUGAAAUCCCCGGGCUUAACCUGGGAACUGCAUCCGAAACUGACUUGCUAGAGUAUGGGAGAGGGAGGCGGAAUUUCUGGUGUAGCAGUGAAAUGCGUAGAUAUCAGAAGGAACAUCAGUGGCGAAGGCGGCCUCCUGGACCAAUACUGACGAUCAGGUACGAAAGCGUGGGGAGCAAACAGGAUUAGAUACCCUGGUAGUCCACGCCCUAAACGAUGACAACUGGAUGUCGGGAGGGUUUGCCUUCCGGUGUCGUAGCUAACGCGUUAAGUUGUCCGCCUGGGAAGUACGGCCGCAAGGUUG